AGAAUGAACGCUGGCGGCGUGCUUAACACAUGCAAGUCGAACGGAAUCCAAGGAGCUUGCUCUGGAAGAUUUAGUGGCGAACGGGUGAGUAUCACGUGAGCAACCUGCCCCGAAGACUGGGAUAACACCGGGAAACCGGUGCUAAUACCGGAUACCUUCCAAUGACCGCAUGGUCGAUGGAAGAAAUGUUUUUCGCUUCGGGAGGGGCUCGCGGUCCAUCAGCUUGUUGGCGGGUAACGGCCCACCAAGGCUUCGACGGAUAGC
rnacentral:rRNA from 1 species